CCUACGGGGUGCAGCAGUGAGGAAUAUUGGUCAAUGGACGGAAGUCUGAACCAGCCAUGCCGCGUGCAGGAAGACGGCUCUAUGAGUUGUAAACUGCUUUUGUACAAGGGUAAACCUGAAUACGUGUAUUCAGCUGAAAGUACUGUACGAAUAAGGAUCGGCUAACUCCGUGCCAGCAGCCGCGGUAAUACGGAGGGUCCAAGCGUUAUCCGGAUUUAUUGGGUUUAAAGGGUGCGUUGGCGGAUUGAUAAGUUAGUGGUGAAAUUUGAGGGCUUAACCCCCUCACUGCCUCUAAUACUGUUGCUCUAGAGAGUAAGUGAAGUAGGCGGAAUGUAUGGUGUAGCGGUGAAAUGCAUAGAGAUCACGCAGAACCCCGAUUGCGAAGGCAGCAUACCGACUU
rnacentral:rRNA from 1 species